UACGUAGGGACCGAGCGUUGUCCGGAAUCAUUGGGCGUAAAGCGCGCGUAGGCGGCCGCUUAAGUCGGAUGUGAAAGCCCCUGGCUCAACUGGGGAAGUGCACCCGAAACUGAGUGGCUUGAGUACUAAAGAGGGUCGCGGAAUUCCCGGUGUAGAGGUGAAAUUCGUAGAUAUCGGGAGGAACACCGGUGGCGAAGGCGGCGACCUGGGUAGAUACUGACGCUGAGGCGCGAAAGCGUGGGGAGCAAACAGG
rnacentral:rRNA from 1 species